rnacentral:lncRNA from 1 species
UCUUUGGAUAAUAGGUACUGUAGCUGGUAUUCUUGUGAUCGGUUUAGUAGGUGUUUUCUUUUAUGGUUCAUAUUCCGGAUAGGAUUCCCUUCUUUGUUUGUCUGAUUUGAGGGAGAAGGUCCCAUUGAGUUCUUAAUAAUUAGAAUUUUUUUUUUAUAAGUUCAUUGAAGAAGUUCUGUUUACUCAACGGAUUUUCCCCUCCUCUUUUANACUGCAUACCUGAUUCCAUCCAUAAAUCGAUUUGAUUCCCUAUGAGUUCUAGUCUCAAUAAGACUACUAAUUCUUACUGUUCAUAUAGUAUGAUAUGAAUAUACCACAUCAAUUCGUUAUGUAUGGAUGAUGAGAUUUCAUUGAUACAGAGCUAAUUCCAAUAGACUUAUUGGAGGGUCCCAUUGGCGUGCAUCCAGUAGGAAUUGAACCUACGAAUUCGCCAAUUAUGAGUUGGGUGCUUUAACCAUUCAGCCAUGGAUGCUUAGCGGGUCAUAGUGAAUGACCAAAUUCCAAUUCAAAUGGAAUCUUUCAACUAAAGCAGUGAGAUGCUUAAAUGGAAUUCUUUUAGUUCUAAUAAAUCAGGAGGAAUUUAAUGACAGGACAUGAAUUCAGGUCCUGGAUUUUAGAGUUGAGAGAGAUAUUGAGAGACUAGCAUGACCACUUAAUGAAAUGUGGAGGGAAGUGGGGUAAAUGGCUGAUACUACUAGAAGAAUUUCUCUUUGGAUAAUAGGUACUGUAGCUGGUAUUCUUGUGAUCGGUUUAGUAGGUGUUUUCUUUUAUGGUUCAUAUUCCGGAUUGGGUUCAUCCCUGUAGUAAUCGGAUGAAUUGAGUUGUAGACAUGAAAGCGUAAGAACUCAACGGAUUCCCUUCUUUGUUUGUCUGAUUUGAGGGAGAAGGUCCCGUUGAGUUCUUAAUAAUUAGAAUAUUUUUUUUUAUAAGUUCAUUGAAGAAGUUCUAUUUACUCAACAGAUUUUCCCCUCCUCUUUUGUUUGUCCACCACUUUUUAUUUAUAGUAUACGUAAUUAUUAUAAGAUAAGAAUAAAUAAAAUACGUAAUAACUAUAAAAAAACGUUC